CCUACGGGGCGCAGCAGUAGGGAAUUUUGCGCAAUGGGCGAAAGCCUGCCGCAGCAACGCCGCGUGAACGAUUAAGCCCUUCGGGGUGUAAAGUUCUGUCAGUAGGGACGAAACUUGACGGUACCUACAGAGGAAGCACCGGCUAACUCCGUGCCAGCAGCCGCGGUAAUACGGCGGGUGCAAGCGUUGUCCGGAAUCAUUGGGCGUAAAGAGUUCGUAGGUGGCAUAUUAAGUCUGGUGUUAAAUGCAGAAGCUUAACUUCUGUUAGGCACGGGAUACUGGUAAGCUUGGAGGCGGUAGAGGUAAAGGGAAUUCCUGGUGUAGCGGUGAAAGGCGUAGAUAUCAGGAGGAACAUCGGGGGCGUAAGCGCUUUACUGGGCCGUAAUUGACACUGAGGAACGAAAGCCGGGGUAGCAAAUGGGAUUAGAUACCCUAGUAGUC
rnacentral:rRNA from 1 species